GGGUUGUGAGGUUAAGCGACUAAGCGUACACGGUGGAUGCCCUGGCAGUCAGAGGCGAUGAAGGACGUGCUAAUCUGCGAAAAGCGUCGGUAAGGUGAUAUGAACCGUUAUAACCGGCGAUGUCCGAAUGGGGAAACCCAGUGUGAUUCGUCACACUAUCGUUAACUGAAUACAUAGGUUAACGAGGCGAACCGGGGGAACUGAAACAUCUAAGUACCCCGAGGAAAAGAAAUCAACCGAGAUUCCCCCAGUAGCGGCGAGCGAACGGGGAGCAGCCCAGAGUCUGAAUCAGCUUGUGUGUUAGUGGAACGGUCUGGAAAGUCCGACGGUACAGGGUGAUAGUCCCGUACACCAAAAUGCACAGGCUGUGAACUCGAAGAGUAGGGCGGGACACGUGGUAUCCUGUCUGAAUAUGGGGGGACCAUCCUCCAAGGCUAAAUACUCCUGACUGACCGAUAGUGAACCAGUACCGUGAGGGAAAGGCGAAAAGAACCCCGGCGAGGGGAGUGAAAAAGAACCUGAAACCGUGUACGUACAAGCAGUGGGAGCACCUUCGGGUGUGACUGCGUACCUUUUGUAUAAUGGGUCAGCGACUUAUAUUCUGUAGCAAGGUUAACCGUAUAGGGGAGCCGCAGGGAAACCGAGUCUUAACUGGGCGUUAAGUUGCAGGGUAUAGACCCGAAACCCGGUGAUCUAGCCAUGGGCAGGUUGAAGGUUGGGUAACACUAACUGGAGGACCGAACCGACUAAUGUUGAAAAAUUAGCGGAUGACUUGUGGCUGGGGGUGAAAGGCCAAUCAAACCGGGAGAUAGCUGGUUCUCCCCGAAAGCUAUUUAGGUAGCGCCUCGUGAACUCAUCUUCGGGGGUAGAGCACUGUUUCGGCUAGGGGGUCAUCCCGACUUACCAACCCGAUGCAAACUACGAAUACCGAAGAAUGUUAUCACGGGAGACACACGGCGGGUGCUAACGUCCGUCGUGAAGAGGGAAACAACCCAGACCGCCAGCUAAGGUCCCAAAGUCAUGGUUAAGUGGGAAACGAUGUGGGAAGGCACAGACAGCCAGGAUGUUGGCUUAGAAGCAGCCAUCAUUUAAAGAAAGCGUAAUAGCUCACUGGUCGAGUCGGCCUGCGCGGAAGAUGUAACGGGGCUAAACCAUGCACCGAAGCUGCGGCAGCGACACUAUGUGUUGUUGGGUAGGGGAGCGUUCUGUAAGCCUGCGAAGGUGACCUGUGAGGGUUGCUGGAGGUAUCAGAAGUGCGAAUGCUGACAUAAGUAACGAUAAAGCGGGUGAAAAGCCCGCUCGCCGGAAGACCAAGGGUUCCUGUCCAACGUUAAUCGGGGCAGGGUGAGUCGACCCCUAAGGCGAGGCCGAAAGGCGUAGUCGAUGGGAAACAGGUUAAUAUUCCUGUACUUGGUGUUACUGCGAAGGGGGGACGGAGAAGGCUAUGUUAGCCGGGCGACGGUUGUCCCGGUUUAAGCAUGUAGGCUGGUUGUCCAGGCAAAUCCGGAUAAUCAAGGCUGAGGUGUGAUGACGAGGCACUACGGUGCUGAAGUAACAAAUGCCCUGCUUCCAGGAAAAGCCUCUAAGCAUCAGGUAACAUCAAAUCGUACCCCAAACCGACACAGGUGGUCAGGUAGAGAAUACCAAGGCGCUUGAGAGAACUCGGGUGAAGGAACUAGGCAAAAUGGUGCCGUAACUUCGGGAGAAGGCACGCUGGUGUGUAGGUGAAGUCCCUGCGGAUGGAGCUGAGACCAGUCGAAGAUACCAGCUGGCUGCAACUGUUUAUUAAAAACACAGCACUGUGCAAACACGAAAGUGGACGUAUACGGUGUGACGCCUGCCCGGUGCCGGAAGGUUAAUUGAUGGGGUUAUCCGUAAGGAGAAGCUCUUGAUCGAAGCCCCGGUAAACGGCGGCCGUAACUAUAACGGUCCUAAGGUAGCGAAAUUCCUUGUCGGGUAAGUUCCGACCUGCACGAAUGGCGUAAUGAUGGCCAGGCUGUCUCCACCCGAGACUCAGUGAAAUUGAACUCGCUGUGAAGAUGCAGUGUACCCGCGGCAAGACGGAAAGACCCCGUGAACCUUUACUAUAGCUUGACACUGAACAUUGAGCCUUGAUGUGUAGGAUAGGUGGGAGGCUUUGAAGCGUGGACGCCAGUCUGCGUGGAGCCAACCUUGAAAUACCACCCUUUAAUGUUUGAUGUUCUAACGUUGGCCCCUUACCGGGGUUGCGGACAGUGUCUGGUGGGUAGUUUGACUGGGGCGGUCUCCUCCCAAAGCGUAACGGAGGAGCACGAAGGUUAGCUAAUCCUGGUCGGACAUCAGGAGGUUAGUGCAAUGGCAUAAGCUAGCUUGACUGCGAGCGUGACGGCGCGAGCAGGUGCGAAAGCAGGUCAUAGUGAUCCGGUGGUUCUGAAUGGAAGGGCCAUCGCUCAACGGAUAAAAGGUACUCCGGGGAUAACAGGCUGAUACCGCCCAAGAGUUCAUAUCGACGGCGGUGUUUGGCACCUCGAUGUCGGCUCAUCACAUCCUGGGGCUGAAGUAGGUCCCAAGGGUAUGGCUGUUCGCCAUUUAAAGUGGUACGCGAGCUGGGUUUAGAACGUCGUGAGACAGUUCGGUCCCUAUCUGCCGUGGGCGCUGGAGAAUUGAGGGGGGCUGCUCCUAGUACGAGAGGACCGGAGUGGACGCAUCACUGGUGUUCGGGUUGUCAUGCCAAUGGCACUGCCCGGUAGCUAAAUGCGGAAGAGAUAAGUGCUGAAAGCAUCUAAGCACGAAACUUGCCCCGAGAUGAGUUCUCCCUGAGACUUUAAGUCUCCUGAAGGAACGUUAAUGACGAUGAAGUUGAUAGUCCGGGUGUGUAAGCGCAGCGAUGCGUUGAGCUAACCGGUACUAAUUAACC
rnacentral:rRNA from 1 species